AUGUUGAAGUUUGAAGAUUGUUUAUCUCUUGAUGUGGAGGGAAGGAGUGGCGGUCUAGCAGUAUCCACCCUCACCCAAAUUGGUUCUGAUAUUCCUAUUAAAGGUCAGCAAUUUACAUGGACUAAAAGUCGGGGCACUGGCCAUUUGGUGGAGGAGAGUUUGGAUCGAGCUUUGGAAACUUCGGAUUGGAUGGACUUGUUUCCUAAUGUUAAUCUUGUAAAUCAUAUUGCUUCUCAGUAG